GAUGAACGCUGACAGAAUGCUUAACACAUGCAAGUCUUUGGCGAAGCUGUGCUUGCACAGCCUAGCCAAGGCGGACGGGUGAGUAACGCGUAAGGAACUUGCCCUGCAGUCAGGGAUAACAGACGGAAACGACUGAUAAGACCUGGUAAAGUCAGGCGGACUCAUGUCCAGCCUGAUGAAAAGAGAUGCUGCAGGAGAGCCUUGCGUCCUAUUAGCUUGUUGGUGGGGUAACGGCCCACCAAGGCGAUGAUAGGUAGCCGGCCUGAGAGGGUGGAUGGCCACAAGGGGACUGAGAUACGGCCCUUACUCCUACGGGAGGCAGCAGUGGGGAAUAUUGGACAAUGGGGGCAACCCUGAUCCAGCAAUUCUGUGUGCACGAUGAAGGUUUUCGGAUUGUAAAGUGCUUUCAGCAGGGAAGAAAAAAAUGACGGUACCUGCAGAAGAAGCGACGGCUAAAUACGUG
rnacentral:rRNA from 1 species